CACACUACACUCAGAGUAUGAGUCAAUGCACACCUGCACUACAAGCCAUGUAGUUCAGUUUAUCCCCUGAUUGUAUUUGGACUGAAUUUGGAGAUCUGAACUCAUUGCUUCUAGGAACCAACAAAAUCUUUCCCACCAUUUCCCCAUUCAAAAUGUGGACAAAUGUCCACUGUUAGAAGCUUUAUUCAUGGUGAAAGAAAGAGAAAAGGAAGAUUCCUUCUGCGAAACGUCCCAUGGACAGCAGUGGCUAAUAUACCUUUUAGUAAAAGCUUCUCGGAUUGAACACUUGAUUCAACAAUCCCUCCUUCCAUAGUGUUCUUCCUAGGGAAAAAGCAUACUCUUUCUAGUGGCCCAACCAUGUUUCUUCAGUUAUUGCCUUUCAUUUGGCAGAAUUCAAAAGGAGCGAGAUAGGAGGAGGUGGGGGUCGGGUCGGGUCAGGUCAGGUCAUUCAUUACACAAUGUUUUAGUAGUGUCCCCCUAGACCACCAGCUUCCAAUUGCUCUUCUUUUUCUCCUCUAAAGCCAUUAAAGGCAACACAACAUGAUUGAUGAUCCCAAAGGAGUCGAUUCUCAUUGGAACCCGACCACAACAUUUGCUAAUCCAACAUGGACAACAAGGCGGCAUCAUGAAAGCAACUCACCACCUGCUUCCAGCCAGUCUGCAUGUGGGAUGAUAUGUUAUGGUUUAUUCAGGUACAACAAGGAAUCAACAAAUUUGAUAUUGAUUUCAAGAAUAAAUCCCUGCCCCGCCCCUGUUCUUACAAAGAUAUAUUUGGAGCUUGGUUACAAAGAACAUACACCUUAAAUACACAAAUAUUUUCAAUCGA